UUAACGACAAUUUUUAACACUUUUGUGAUAAGAAAUUUAAGAUUUUACCAGUUAUGUUUCAUUAAAUUGUUAUAAUUGAUUUGUUUUGCUCUCAUUUCUGCAGGAACUUAAAUAUGUGAUAAAUAGAUUAUAACAUGUCUUUUCCAUAUUGGCCCUGGUAUCAUCCCUCGACCCAUAUCGGCCCUCGGCUAAAGCCUCGAGGCCGAUAUGGGAGUCUCGGGAUGACACCAGGGCCAAUAUGGAAAAGGGUAUGUUGUAAUCUAUACAUAUU
rnacentral:lncRNA from 1 species